AACCCAUGUUGAGGACAUUUCCGUAGGAGCUUUUUGAACCUAUCCCAUGUCUCAAAAAGAGACUCUUAUUCUAUUUGCACGAAAGCGGAUUUUUCAUUCCUAAGCUU